ACACCAGACUCCUACGGGAGGCAGCAGUGAGGAAUAUUGGUCAAUGGGCGCGAGCCUGAACCAGCCAAGUCGCGUGAGGGAUGACGGCCCUACGGGUUGUAAACCUCUUUUGCCGGGGAGCAACGGGCGCCACGUGUGGCGCCACUGAGAGUACCCGGAGAAAAAGCAUCGGCUAACUCCGUGCCAGCAGCCGCGGUAAUACGGAGGAUGCGAGCGUUAUCCGGAUUUAUUGGGUUUAAAGGGUGCGUAGGCGGAAUAUCAAGUCAGCGGUAAAAAUUCGGGGCUCAACCCCGUCGUGCCGUUGAAACUGGCGUUCUUGAGUGAGCGAGAAGUAUGCGGAAUGCGUGGUGUAGCGGUGAAAUGCAUAGAUAUCACGCAGAACUCCGAUUGCGAAGGCAGCAUACCGGCGCUCAACUGACGCUCAUGCACGAAAGCGUGGGUAUCGAACAGGAUUAGAUACCCGAGUA
rnacentral:rRNA from 1 species